rnacentral:rRNA from 1 species
AUUGAACGCUGGCGGCAUGCCUUACACAUGCAAGUCGAACGGCAGCACGGGGGCAACCCUGGUGGCGAGUGGCGAACGGGUGAGUAACAUAUCGGAACAUACCCUAGAGUGGGGGAUAACGUAGCGAAAGUUACGCUAAUACCGCAUACGAUCUAAGGAUGAAAGUGGGGGAUCUUCGGACCUCAUGCUCAUGGAGUGGCCGAUAUCUGAUUAGCUAGUUGGUGAGGUAAAGGCUCACCAAGGCGACGAUCAGUAGCUGGUUUGAGAGAACGACCAGCCACACUGGAACUGAGACACGGUCCAGACUCCUACGGAGGCAGCAGUGGGGAAUUUUUGGACAAUGGGGGCAACCCUGAUCCAGCAAUGCCGCGUGAGUGAAGAAGGCCUCGGUUGUAAGAGUCUUUGUUCGGGUAGGAAACGGUAGGAGUCUAUACAGCUGUC